rnacentral:rRNA from 1 species
AGUGAACGCUGGCGGUAGGCCUAACACAUGCAAGUCGAACGGCAGCACAGUAAGAGCUUGCUCUUACGGGUGGCGAGUGGCGGACGGGUGAGGAAUACAUCGGAAUCUACUUUUUCGUGGGGAUAACGUAGGGAAACUUACGCUAAUACCGCAUACGACCUACGGGUGAAAGCAGGGGAUCUUCGGACCUUGCGCGAUUGAAUGAGCCGAUGUCGGAUUAGCUAGUUGGCGGGGUAAAGGCCCACCAAGGCGACGAUCCGUAGCUGGUCUGAGAGGAUGAUCAGCCACACUGGAACUGAGACACGGUCCAGACUCCUACGGGAGGCAGCAGUGGGGAAUAUUGGACAAUGGGCGCAAGCCUGAUCCAGCCAUACCGCGUGGGUGAAGAAGGCCUUCGGGUUGUAAAGCCCUUUUGUUGGGAAAGAAAAGCAGCAGGUUAACACCCCGCUGUUCUGACGGUACCCAAAGAAUAAGCACCGGCUAACUUCGUG